AGUAGUUUGAUCCUGGCUCAGAACGAACGCUGGCGGCAUGCCUAACACAUGCAAGUCGAACGAAGUCUUCGGACUUAGUGGCGCACGGGUGCGUAACGCGUGGGAAUCUGCCCUUGAGUGCGGAAUAACUUCUCGAAAGGGAUGCUAAUACCGCAUAAUGUCGUAAGACCAAAGAUUUAUCGCCCAAGGAUGAGCCCGCGUAAGAUUAGCUAGUUGGUGGGGUAAAAGCCUACCAAGGCGACGAUCUUUAGCUGGUCUGAGAGGAUGAUCAGCCACACUGGGACUGGGACACGGCCCAGACUCCUACGGGAGGCAGCAGUGGGGAAUAUUAGACAAUGGGCGAAAGCCUGAUCCAGCAAUGCCGCGUGAGUGAUGAAGGCCCUAGGGUUGUAAAGCUCUUUACCAGGGAUGAUAAUGACAGUACCUGGAGAAUAAGCUCCGGCUAACUCCGUG
rnacentral:rRNA from 1 species